GACGAACGCUGGCGGCGCGCUUAACACAUGCAAGUCGAACGGAAAGGCCUGCUUUCCCUUGUGGAUUGCGGGUACUCGAGUGUCGAACGGGUGAGUAACACGUGAGUGAUCUGCCCCCAACUUGGGUAUAAGCCUGGGAAACUGGGUCUAAUUCCCGAUAGGACUGCAGGGUGGUGCCUGUGGUGGAAAACGAUUUUCUAGUGGUUGGGGAUGAGCUCGCGGCCUAUCAGCUUGUUGGUGGGGUAAUGGCCUACCAAGGCGGCGACGGGUAGCCGGCCUGAGGGGGUGGACGGCCACAUUGGAACGGAGAUACGGCCCAGACUACUACGGGAGGCAGCAGUGGGGAAUAUGGCACAAUGGGCGGAAGCCUGAUGCAGCGACGCCGAGUGGGGGAUGACGGCCUUCGGGUUGUAAACUCCUUUCGACCGCGAGGAAGCCACCUGGUUGGAAGGGUGGUGACGGUAGUGGUAGAAGAAGCACCGGCUAACUACGUG
rnacentral:rRNA from 1 species